UACAGAGGUCUCAAGCGUUGUUCGGAUUCAUUGGGCGUAAAGGGUGCGUAGGCGGCGUGGUAAGUCGGGUGUGAAAUCUCGGAGCUUAACUCCGAAACUGCAUUCGAUACUGCCGUGCUUGAGGACUGGAGAGGAGACUGGAAUUUACGGUGUAGCGGUGAAAUGCGUAGAUAUCGUAAGGAAGACCAGUGGCGAAGGCGGGUCUCUGGGCCACUACUGACGCUGAGAAGCGAAAGCAUGGGGAGCAAACAGG
rnacentral:rRNA from 1 species